rnacentral:rRNA from 1 species
AUUGAACGCUGGCGGAAUGCUUUACACAUGCAAGUCGAACGGCAGCACGGGGCAACCUGGUGGCGAGUGGCGAACGGGUGAGUAAUACAUCGGAACGUGCCCAAUCGUGGGGAUAACGUAGCGAAAGUUACGCUAAUACCGCAUACGAUCUACGGAUGAAAGCGGGGGAUCGCAAGACCUCGCGCGAAUGGAGCGGCCGAUGUCAGAUUAGGUAGUUGGUGGGGUAAAGGCUCACCAAGCCGACGAUCUGUAGCUGGUCUGAGAGGACGACCAGCCACACUGGGACUGAGACACGGCCCAGACUCCUACGGGAGGCAGCAGUGGGGAAUUUUGGACAAUGGGCGCAAGCCUGACCCAGCCAUUCCGCGUGCAGGAUGAAGGCC